rnacentral:rRNA from 1 species
UUGAUCCUGGCUCAGAAUCAACGCUGGCGGCGUGCCUAACACAUGCAAGUCGAACGCGAAAGUCCCGCAAGGGAUUAGUAGAGUGGCAAACGGGUGAGUUACACGUGGGUGACCUGCCUUCGAGUGGGGGAUAACGUCCCGAAAGGGACUCUAAUACCGCAUAACAUCCUGCCUUUUAAGAGGCGGAGAUCAAAGCUGGUGAUCGCAAGACCUGGCGCUGGAAGAGGGGCCCGCGUCCGAUUAGCUAGUUGGUGGGGUAAUGGCUCACCAAGGCGUCGAUCGGUAUCCGGCCUGAGAGGUCGGACGGACACACUGGGACUGAGACACGGCCCAGACUCCUACGGGAGGCUGCAGUGGGGAAUUGUUCGCAAUGGGCGCAAGCCUGACGACGCAACGCCGUGUGGAGGAUGAAGACCUUCGGGUCGUAAACUCCUUUCGAUCGAGACGAAUGGCCUUUGGGUUAAUAGCCUGAAGGAGUGACGGUACCGAGAGAAGAAGCUCCGGCUAACUCCGUGCCAGCAGCCGCGGUAAUAAGGU